UGCGUAGGGCGUGUUUCAUGACGAUGUUGCCGAAACUCACGCCCUUGAGGCGCGCGGUGCGGAUGUAUUGCGCGGUCAUGACCUCGGCCAUCGAGGCGCGGGUCAUCCUUGCAAUGUAGCCCAUCCCGUAAAGCGCGAUGGUCAGCACCGGCAGAAAGAAGUUCUCGAAGUUCGGGUUU
rfam:Ponticoccus sp. TMTAT08 contig000005, whole genome shotgun sequence.